CCCUUAGAUGUCCUGGGCCGCACGCGUGCUACACUGUUGCAUUCAGCGAGUUUUUAUUUUAUUUCCUAGAUCGAGAGAUGUUGGGAAAUCUUUGAAAGUGCAACGUGAUGGGGAUAGAUUAUUGCAAUUUUUAAUCUUGAACGAGGAAUUCCUAGUAAACGCAAGUCAUCAGCUUGCAUUGAUUACGUCCCUGCCCUUUGUACACACCGCCCGUCGCUCCUACCGAUUGAAUGUUCCGGUGAAAUCUUUGGAUUUUUCCUUUGUUACCUUUUGGUGAUACUGGAAAGAGAAAUUGCUUGAACCUUAACAUUUAGAGGAAGGAGAAGUCGUAACA
rnacentral:rRNA from 1 species